GAUAAACGCUGGCGGCGCACAUAAGACAUGCAAGUUGAACGGACUUAAUCGAAAUAUUUCUAUUUUGAAGCGGUUAGUGGCGGACAGGUGAGUAACGCGUAAGGAACCUGCCUAUUAGAGGGGAAUAACAGUGAGAAAUCAUUGCUAAUACCGCAUAUGCCAUAGAUAUCACAUGAUAACAGUGGGAAAGGAGCAAUCCGCUAAUAGAUGGCCUUGCGUCUGAUUAGAUAGUUGGUGGGGUAACGGCCUACCAAGUCGACGAUCAGUAGCCGGACUGAGAGGUUGAACGGCCACAUUGGGACUGAGAUACGGCCCAGACUCCUACGGGAGGCAGCAGUCGGGAAUAUUGCGCAAUGGAGGAAACUCUGACGCAGUGACGCCGCGUAUAGGAAGAAGGUUUUCGGAUUGUAAACUAUUGUCGUUAGGGAAGAGAAAGGACAGUACCUAAGGAGGAAGCUCCGGCUAACUACGUG
rnacentral:rRNA from 1 species